rnacentral:rRNA from 1 species
GUAAGGAAUAUUGGUCAAUGGACGCAAGUCUGAACCAGCCAUGCCGCGUGCAGGAAGACGGCCCUAUGGGUUGUAAACUGCUUUUGUACGGGAAGAACUACAUUUACGUGUAAAUGUUUGACGGUACCGUAAGAAUAAGGAUCGGCUAACUCCGUGCCAGCAGCCGCGGUAAUACGGAGGAUCCGAGCGUUAUCCGGAUUUAUUGGGUUUAAAGGGUGCGCAGGCGGGUAUAUAAGUCAGAGGUGAAAUUCCAGGGCUCAACCCUGGGACUGCCUUUGAUACUGUAUGUCUAGAGUAUAUUUGGAGUGGGCGGAAUGUAGCAUGUAGCGGUGAAAUGCUUAGAUAUGCUACAGAACACCGAUCGUGAAGACAGCUCACUAAACUAUAACUGACGCUCAGGCACGAAAGCGUGGGGAGCAAACAGGAUUAGAUACCCUAGUAGUCC